GCCAGGUUUGGACAAUAUCAAUGUUCAGAUGACAGCCAGGUUUGGACAAUAUCAAUGUUCAGAUGACAGCCAGGUUUGGACAAUAUCAAUGUUCAGAUGACAGCCAGGUUUGGACAAUAUCAAUGUUCAGAUGACAGCCAGGUUUGACCACCUUCCUUGGCUUAUUAUUAUUAUUUUUAAAUGUCGAAAAAGUUUGACAUCAGUAAACGAGAGCCUGUCAAAAUAUACCAAGAUUUCAUCACACUUAAAGGGAUACUUAGGUAUUUUGGCAAUGAGGCCCUUUAUCUACUGACCCAGAGUCAGAUGAGGCCCUUUAUCUACUGACCCAGAGUCAGAUGAGGUCCUUUAUCUACUGACCCAGAGUCAGAUGAGGUCCUUUAUCUACUGACCCAGAGUCAGAUGAGGUCCUUUAUCUACUGACCCAGAGUCAGAUGAGGUCCUUUAUCUACUGACCCAGAGUCAGAUGAGGCCCUUUAUCUACUGACCCAGAGUCCCGUGCAUACAAUUUCAAUAUCUCUGCAUGCAGUUUGAAGGAAGUUGCUAACUAGCGCUAGCGCAAUGACUGGAAGUCUAUGGGUAUCUGCUAGCAUGCAUUAGCGCAAUGACUGGAAGUCUAUGGGUAUCUGCUAGCAUGCAUUAGCGCAAUGACUUCAAACAUAGUUUUACUUUUUAAUGUCUUCUGUGCCCAUAUGAAUAACCCCUAUGAUGUAACUGGAAUAAUGAGAUAGAUUUUCUUCUUCUAUGUUUUUGUUUUAUUAUUUUACUGCCAUACUGUGUUGGAUCUUGUCUAGCUAGCUUGUCUCCAGAGUAUCACAAUGGAAAUAAGUCCCAGACUUCAUAGUGUGUUGUCCUCUAUGAUUUUAUUCAUGAAUGUAUGGCUUUUUCAAGUUUUAUGUGAGCUUGUUUUUAAAAUGGUCGAAUUAAUAAACUAAACGACUGGAAGUCUAUGGGUAUCUGCUAGUAUGCAUUAACGCAAUGACCAAUCCUUAUAGAUAGCAGAUACCCAUAG
rnacentral:lncRNA from 1 species